AACCAUUAAAUAAUAACAAUAAUAAUGUUUAUAAUGGGAAUGAUCAUAACACUAAUCGAUUCAUAAUAAUCAAACUAAUUUCACUGCUUUGUUAGUAUACAUUGAAGAUAUAAUUCUUGCAGGGAACUCUAUUUCUCUAUUUCUGAUAUUCAACAGGUCACUGCUUUCUUCAAUGAAACGUCUAAAUUCAAAGACUUAUAAAAUGCUUUCUUCGGCCUGAGAUUUCUAGAACGCAUAAAGGAAUACAUGUUUCUCAGAGAAAAUACGAGUUGGACAUUCUUACUGACAGUGGCCUUCUUGGAGCAAAGCCCUGCUCUACACCUAUGGCUAAGGAUAUUAAGACCGUGUUUCAAGAAAGAGUUCCUCUAGUUGAUAUUACUUCUUAUCAGAGACUUCUUGAAAGGCUGUUGCAUCUCACCAACAAAAGACCAGAGAUAAAAUAUGCGACUCAUUUCCUAAGUCAGUUUCUUCAUAUGCUCCCACUGAAGACCAUCUCAACGAAGACCAUCUCAACGCUGCCCAUCGUAUCCUGCAAUAUGUGAAAUCCAGUCCUGGGCAGGGUCUGUUCUAUCCCCUCAAACCAGAUGUCUACUACAGGAUUUUGUAUUUGUCUUGGUUCUUCUUUGAUAAGCUGGAAAUCAAAAAAGCAAUUGGUAUCCAGAUCUUCGUCAGAGGCCGAAUUAGGGCUCUAACUGCUCUCCCUUGUGAAAUCCAGUGGCUGAAGUACUUGACGGAUGAUCUCAGAAUCGAAGUCUAGACUCCUACUGCCACAUAUUGUAGCAACCAAUUUGCUAGACACAUUGCCUUGAAUCCAAGCUUUCAUUAUUUUACGAAACAUAUUGAAAUUGACUGCUAAGUUGUGCAAGAAAAACUCCAAGCUAAGCUAUUUCAACUUCUCUCGGUAUCCUCUGUUCAUCAAGCUGCUAUAUGUUUACUAAUCCUCUUGAAGAGCCUUCAAAGCUGCUAUCUCCAAGCUCGGAUUAAUGGAUAAAUAUACUCAUGAGCUUGUGGGGGGAUGUUGAGUGUCCACGUGUUUCAGUUCGUGCCUUACAUCUUCUCUUCUCUUAGAUUCUGUUUAGUUUUUACGGUUUUUCCCUGUUUUAUAAGGGCUUGUUCUGAUCUCUUUAUAAGAGACAUAUGUACAUCCUUGAAGUCACGUGUCAUCUAUACAAUUCUUCAUUUCUCAGUCAUGUUGUGCAAGUUUGUUUCUUUUGCUUACACGUUUUCUGUUUAUGCAUGUAUCUUGAUCUGGUUUAAUCCUUUACCUUCUUCAUCUUUUCCUUAGCACCAUUUGCAGUGUCUAUAUCAUGAUCCCAGAAACUCAAUAGGUUUUUCCUUUUUCUCAAAUAAAUUAGUUAAGAGACUCUGCUGUUUGGGUAAUCGAUCUGAAUAAUCUCUAUUCCAAAAAUGUUGCCUGUAUCAAGAUUUUUUUUAACAUGUAGUACAUGCAAACCUGCCCUGAGACUUUGUUUAAGGUAUCCAAACUCAAAUUUCAUUCAAACGUAAUUCGGAGAAUUCUAAUGUUAAGAUGUCAGUUUUAAUUAAGUCAUCAGCAUCAUUUAAGAAUUUCCUGAAUACUUUGCCUUCUAAUCUGAACCACAAGUAAAAAAUAAGCAAGCAAGUAAUUAUAGUUUUAUCCCAGCUUAGUAAGAAAUUAAAAAAAAAAAAAAAAAGUGAGCGGAGACUCACGGGAACAGAACCGAGCAAAUGGCUGGUGUUGCUUAUGGUGUAAGAUUCGCCCUCCAUCGAACGUAAGCUGAAAAGUCCGAGUCAGAGAGACAUUACGAACUGGGAAUGCUUCCGAGUUAACGGGAAAUCCCUAGAUUGCAGAAACUCUGAUUAUGCUACUUACAUCACUGGAAUGCUUUGCUCAAUUGAUUACUUCGCCCAAACAAAACUACAAUUUUGGGCCCCAAAAAUGUCAUCAGCCCAGUAGUGCUGAACAUAUAAAAAAAGGGCGCUUCU
rnacentral:lncRNA from 1 species